GCUCCCGUGGCGCAAUGGUAGCGCGUUAGACUUCUAUUCACCAGUGAUAUCUAAAGGCUGUGGGUUCGAGACCCACCGGGAGCU